UCCGAUUUAACAUCGGCAGUCUUCCUAGAGUCCCCAACUUAAUGAUGGUAACUAAGAACAGGGGUUGCGCUCGUUGCCGGACUUAACCGAACAUUUCACAACACGAGCUGACGACAGCCAUGCAGCACCUGUCAUCCGGUGACCGAAGUCAGGGCUGUAUCUCUACAGCUUUCCAGAGAUGUCAAGGCCAGGUAAGGUUUUUCGCGUUGCUUCGAAUUAAACCACAUACUCCACCGCUUGUGCGGGCCCCCGUCAAUUCCUUUGAGUUUUAGCCUUGCGACCGUACUCCCCAGGCGGGAUACUUAAUGUGUGAACUGCGGCACUCAACGGGUUAAUCCAUCGAACGCCUAGUAUCCAUCGUUUACGGCGUGGACUAC
rnacentral:misc_RNA from 1 species